rnacentral:rRNA from 1 species
CAUGCAGUCGAGCGAUUUACUUCGGUAAAGAGCGGCGGACGGGUGAGUAACGCGUGGGUAACCUGCCUCAUACACAUGGAUAACAUACCGAAAGGUAUGCUAAUACAGGAUAAUAUAAGAGAUUCACAUGGAUUUCUUAUCAAAGCUCCGGCGGUAUGAGAUGGACCCGCGUCUGAUUAGCUAGUUGGUAAGGUAAUGGCUUACCAAGGCGACGAUCAGUAGCCGACCUGAGAGGGUGAUCGGCCACAUUGGAACUGAGACACGGUCCAAACUCCUACGGGAGGCAGCAGUGGGGAAUAUUGCACAAUGGGCGAAAGCCUGAUGCAGCAACGCCGCGUGAGUGAUGAAGGCCUUCGGGUCGUAAAACUCUGUCCUCAAGGAAGAUAAUGACGGUACUUGAGGAGGAAGCCCCGGCUAACUACGUGCCAGCAGCCGCGGUAAUACGUAGGGGGCUAGCGUUAUCCGGAUUUACUGGGCGUAAAGGGUGCGUAGGUGGUUUUUUAAGUCAGGAGUGAAAGGCUACGGCUCAACCGUAGUAAGCUCUUGAAACUGGAAAACUUGAGUGCAGGAGAGGAAAGUGGAAUUCCUAGUGUAGCGGUGAAAUGCGUAGAUAUUAGGAGGACACCAGUAGCGAAGGCGGCUUUUCUGGACUGUAACUGACACUGAGCACGAAAGCGGUGGGGGAGCAAAACAGGAUUAGAUACCCUGUAGUCCACGCCGUAACGAUGAGUACUAC